rnacentral:rRNA from 1 species
UGGGGAAUAUUGCACAAUGGGCGCAAGCCUGAUGCAGCCAUGCCGCGUGUAUGAAGAAGGCCUUCGGGUUGUAAAGUACUUUCAGCGAGGAGGAAGGCGUUGUGGUUAAUAACCGCAACGAUUGACGUUACUCGCAGAAGAAGCACCGGCUAACUCCGUGCCAGCAGCCGCGGUAAUACGGAGGGUGCAAGCGAUAAUCGGAAUUACUGGGCGUAAAGCGCACGCAGGCGGUCUGUCAAGUCGGAUGUGAAAUCCCCGGGCUCAACCUGGGAACUGCAUCCGAAACUGGCAGGCUAGAGUCUUGUAGAGGGGGGUAGAAUUCCAGGUGUAGCGGUGAAAUGCGUAGAGAUCUGGAGGAAUACCGGUGGCGAAGGCGGCCCCCUGGACAAAGACUGACGCUCAGGUGCGAAAGCGUGGGGAGCAAACA